CAUUCCUUGAUGAGUAAUGUUUACCGCCCCAGGCUGAACAAUUGUGUUGAUUGGUUUUACUGAAAAAUG